UACAGCGUGUUGUCUGAAGGAAACGGACAAGUAAACGGAAGAGAAAAAUAACUUCCACGUUAGCGAAGAACAACUUUCACGUUAGCGUUUUUAUUUAGACGUUUUAACGUCCUGGAACUCAAAAUAUGAUUAAUUUAACUGCAAAUCCCAUGUUGUGUUUAGUUCGAGUUGGAGACAGGAUUUGUUUGAUAGCUAACUAGCUAGCUGCUCAAGUUAGCCAACAAUGGCUAACUGUAUGAUGUUUCACACUCAAAUAGCCUCCAUCAUGGAGGUUCUAGCGAAUGCAGCCGUGGCAGAGAUCUGUAAACUCGUAGAUGACGACUAUGCAGUGUUUCGUUUGGAAAUAACUCAAAGCCAGAAAGAAAACAGGGCAUUGCGGAGAAAACUGCUGGAAUCGAAGGUGGCACGGGAGCGCGCAGAAAGGACAGCCCGAGAGCGCGUCCUCGCCAGUCGUCCCAGUAGUGUCAAGAUCCUCGACCGAUACAGAGGAAUGGCAAGAGGUGAAGGACAUCUCACUGGAGGCUACAGGACCUUUAUGAAGCCAGCGGGACACAAUGAAUGGAGAGAUGACCAACCAAUCACUGUUGAUGAGGGGAGUGGAACCUCAACCCAACACGUUAUUGUGAUAGAAUCUGCAGAGGCUGAAGGUCCUGGUGUCAAGCUAGAGAGGUCUGAAGGAGAGGAGGACCCACGGCACAGCAGAGACAUCCAGACUGGAACGGCUGACACGCCCUCUGUAGACAGAGAGGACCCCACCACCGCCCAAGCACAGCCAAGGACCCGUCGCAGCAUCAUGGAGGUCAGUGGAAUGCCGAACACCGUCCUCAAGUCAGAGACAGACACCAAGACUUUAACUGUAACACACAGUCUCUUACAAACAGGAUCUGAUCACAGAUCAGACCCAAAGAGACUGGGGCCGAGGAGACUGGGCUGUCUUCCUGCUCCCGGCUCAGAGUACUUACCAGUAUUUCACCAGAGCCAGAGAACGUUUAAUUCCCGUGGGGAUGGUGAUGGUAACGCUUUAGACACUGGCGGUGAUGAUUCAUCUUGUUCUUACGCUACAGAGAUGGGCCCUGGCAACAUAUCCUUGGGUUUAGAGACACAAACUGAUCUGUCUAGAGGGGACUGGAACGGGUACAGUAGUAGUGUAUACUCUGAAGGGUGCCUAGAUAAGAAAGGGGAGAGUCUGGUCGUAGAUGAGGUGACUGUGAAAGUGGAGGAUGACGUUCCUCCCACAUGGAAUGCAAAUAGUCACCUAGGAGACGGAAACUCACAGGGCAGAGAUGUCUUAGAUUACAGGGAAAGCUUAGAGACAAAUCUAAAUGUCACGACCCACUCCCCGUUACACACGUUCAGGGAUUGUGACCCAGUGUCCACAUUGAUGGGGCCUUCCGAUUUACACAGCCAUGUCCUUUUCGAUCAGGUAUUGAACUCAAACGACAGGGCUAGAGCCCAGACUCAGGGAGGGGGAGCCACAUCAGGCAAUGGUAAAGAGAAACGGUUCCUCUGCAUGUUCUGUAACAAAGGCUUCAGCUGCCUCCAGAAGGUGGAGGUUCACCAGAGGAUCCACACAGGGGUGAAACCCUUCAGCUGUACCCAGUGUCACAUGCGCUUUGCCCAGGCUGGCACUCUGAAGAGGCACCAGAGGGUUCACACAGGGGUGAAACCCUUCAGCUGUACCCAGUGUCACAUGCACUUCGCCCAAGCUGGUGACCUGAAGAGGCACCAUAGGGUCCACACGGGUGAGAGACCCUACAGUUGCCCCCAGUGUGAGAAGAGAUUCACCCGCCAGCAUCAGCUAAAGAUGCACAUGAAGGUCCACACGGGAGAGAGGCCAUUUGCCUGUACGCACUGCGGGAAGACAUUCUCAGAGAUGAGCUAUCUCAGGAUACACCUGCAGAAAAAACAUUCCACUCAAUAGCUUCAGAUUUUUAGAUGUAUUAAAUAUAAAGAUUCAUUUUCAUUGUUGUCAGCAGAAAAAUACUCACAAAUGCAUUUGGAAUAAUGAGAGUAACAUAUUUCAGUGUUGAAUAUUUCUGGGUAGAAUACUGCAUCCAGACAUGAUUAUAUCUAUAUAUAUAUAUAUAUAUAUAUAUAUAUAUAUGUAUGUUUGUGCCUAAAAAGGUUAUUACAUAUUGUGUUUGUACUGUGCAGGCCAGGGGUGGGCAUCUUUGAUGGGGGCGGGGGCCACAAAAUAUCAGAACUCAGUCAGAGCUGGCUCUAGCCUUUUGGAGGCCCUAAGCUACAUUUAGCAAGUAAAGCAUUUUAGCAGCCCCCUUCUUGACAGCAAAGAUAACAUUUUUUUAGUUUUAGAGUUAAUUUUCUGCAGUUCUACACAUUUUGCCAUGGGUUGAAGAGACGGGGUUAAUCCACAGACAAAAGGGGCGCUGUCAGUUGCCCAUCCCUGGUGUAGGCUAUAUGUGGCGCGCUCUAUCAUAAUCAGUCGGUAGUCGCAAUGACUAAUUUGCAUAUAAAUUGUGUUUUUGUCCAAAUGUAAACUUUUUGCUAUUUGGGGGUUUCAUUUGGUUUUAACAAAACAAUGUCUUUGCUUUCAAUAUCUGUAUGUAUUAUUGCCAAAUUCAGUAUAAAUAUAGUUUUAGUCGUAUACAUGUAGGAUGAAACGUAGCACUUUCCCAUCCGUUUGGUGGAUGCUAGCUUGUAACACACCAGGCUUUUGCGGCACUAGUUUAUCUGCACUAUCAAAACCCUCCUCUAUUCCGAAAUCAUGAAUGAAUUACAAAAUAGUUAGCUCGCUAUAUAUUUUGAAUCAAACUACAAUAGGCUAUUCAAUCGAAUUAUUUUCCUGUUUUCCCAAUCAAAGCUACUGUAUUGUAUCAUCCUCGGGAAAAGAAAAUGUACCUCAGGCUACACUCUCUUGCACUUCAAAACCCACACUGUCACUACUGCCUACACCUUAGCUAGCUAGCGUAGCUUUCUACUGCGUUGAUGGAUUCCCGGGAGAAAGAAAUCGCUUGAUUAAUUAAGGUGCUUCAGUCGGUUGAGGGGAAAUAUGGUGCUGGGCAAGAAAUUGAAAAGGCUUGCGAGUUCAAUAAAGGGAAGCCGUGAUAUUUUAUUUUUACCCCUGAGGAGAUGGUCAAGAGACGUGACCAGAUGAAUUGGCUAACUCAACAAUGGUAAGUGCUUGCCAUUCAACUAUUAGUCAAGUUUAUAUGACUGAGUGUGUAAUGUGUGCGUGUUUUCUGUGUCUGUAUCUGUCCGUGUCUGGGUGUGAUGAGGCACACGUAGAUUGACUAGCUAACUGUUAGUGUAUUAAAUCCAACUGUGAGAGAGUGAGUGAAUGUGUGGCUUGGAAGGGAGAGCUGAAGUGGGGGAUGUGUAGCCCAUGCAACCUACAUAUCUAGAUAGUAACUUAUGGGACCUGUGUGUGGUGUGGGAGAGAGAGAGAAUGUGUAACCCAUAAAACAUUUGCAGUAACUUAUGGGACCUGUGUGUGGUGUUGAUAUUUGUCCUAAAGACAGGUUACAUAAAUGCAUGAAAUGGCCAUCUACAAAGUUAUGACAUUUCUUUAUAUCAAACCUGACCCAUUUACACUACUAGUAAAAGUGUGUGUGAUUCACACAUGCAUUUCAAGAUGUGCAGGUUGCGUAGGUUUGUGUGUUUUAUUGAACAUGUUUAUAUUACUUUAAAAUGUAUUGUCUAGAAUAGAUGACGACGAUGACUGAAUGUUAAAGAAUGAUAUAUUGUUGUCUUAUUGUUCAGAUGAAAAACAUCUAGUGCUCAUUGGCGAGAUCUCUGGUUCCAUGAACCUCUGCAAGGAAACGGUCACCUCGAACAGGAACUAACAAAAAGGAAACAUCAGAGGACAUAUUUCUUUGAUAGCCAGCAAAUCUGCAGAGAAACCUUCAACUUCCGACACGUCUGACUGCAGUGAUAAAGUUCUACAAGGAACAUGGUGAGGCUCCAAGGAAGAAGAGGUGUGGUGGUCUCGCCAGAAAACAGGUGCUGUCCUACGAGGACACUCGGCGAAUCGUCCACUAGGUCAACAACUUUGCCGAUGUCCAUGCGAUGCCUCUCCCGGGACAGAGCCCUGGAUUUAAGAGGGCAGACAUCCUGGUGCUUCUGACAUUUGAGACCAAGUCCUGUGUGUGUUACAAAAACAUUAAUGCGUGUUCAUGGUGAGUGUUUUCCUAAAUCUUGAUACUUAUGUUUGUACCAAACGUUUGUCAGCGGCAAAGACUCUAACCAAAGCCCACAUGAACCGGAUCCAAAGAGACUGUCAGACCUUACUCUCUGGUGACGUGUGUAUGUUGUCAGAUUUUCUUUAACAUUUCUCAUUUUAGUUGUUGCUUACUUUGACCAAUUUUAGCUCAUUCUGUUGCUUGUAUACUACAUGAACAAAAGUAUGUGGACACCUGCUUGUCAAACAUCUCAUUCCAAAACCAUGGGCAUUAGUAUAGAGUUGGUCCCCCCCCUUUUGCUGCUAUAAAAGCCUCCACUCUUCUGGGAAGGCUUUCCACUAGAUCAGUGUUCGCCAACCGGUCGAUCUUCAAGGCAUUCCUAGUCGAUCACCAUAUAUUUCUGUAGAAAAGCCAAUGAAUGAUAAAGGCUUGCUCUCCUUUAAAAAAAAUCGUGUUGAGCUGUUGCCGGCAGGUGCACUUGAUUCAAAAGUCCUGCUCCGGGUAAACAAAGUGUUCCCACGAGACAAACUCCGCCUUACCCGGCUGACCGGCAAAUCUGUAACAAAAUCGGGUGGACCUACUGCACUGCUCAAUCGGAUAGCUCAAAUCACUGUGGCUACAGAGCUUCCAUGACCCUGGCCACAGCCAAGUGUAAUAAGCUUCUAACCUACGUAAGAUUUAAUAAUUUUUAAAACCAUGACCACAGAGAGACUGUCACCGAAUACAGCAAAGAGCUGCAUUUUUUUGUGAGUAAGUUUAUAUUCAGCACUGGCACUGUUUUUAUUCAACACAUUACAAAACAUGCUUCUCCGUACUUCCGCUCGGGCUGCAGCUGCAAUGAAUGAGUAGCCAAGUAUCGAUAGCCCUGCAUUUGAUUAUAUUUAUUAGCAGCUCGUCGUGUUGAUUUUAGUAUUAAGGAAUAUUUAACUUUCUCUGGUCAUAGGAACAACAUGAAUUUGUGCAUGAGGCAGAUGCGGUGCAACUCGAGUUUCGCCAUCAGGUGGAAGACGAUGUCCCCUCUCUCUGGUCAUCCAACUCGGAAUUCCAAGUCGGAAACUCGGGCAUCUUUCUAGAGCCCCCGACUUUUCGACCUGAAGAUCACUGAUGUCGUGAUUUGACCUCGUUGACCAUCAGAUGCAGGUACCAUCAGUCCAGUAGAAUAAAAAAAACUAAUUAUUUAAAUUAAUGCCUCAAGUGCUAAACCAACUGAUCUAUUUUGAAAUAUAAUAUGGUCUGAUUAACAAUAUUGGCAGGCCAAUCAUAUAGCCAAUAUGCUGUAAUAAUGUAUUAGGCCUACUGCCCAAACCUCAUUCCUACAAAACUGUGUGAGGUUAAUAUAAAAAAAAAUCUGAGCAGUAGACCCCAGCUUGCUUUUUGACUGCGAAAAUGAUCUUGACUCAAAGGUUGGUGACCACUAUUGGAACAUUGCUGCGGGGACUUGCUUCCAUUCAGCCACAAGCAUUAGUGAGGUCAGGCACCGAUGUUAAACGAUUAGGCCUAGCUCGCAGUUGUCGUUUUAAUUCUUCCCAAAGGUGUUUUGAUGGGGUUGAGGUCAGGGCUCUGUGCAAGCCAGUCAAGUUCUUCCACACCAAUCUCAAAAAUAAAUUUCUGUAUGGACCUCGCUUUGUGCACGGGGGCAUUGUCAUGCUGAAACAGGAAAGGGUCUUCCCCGAACUGUUGCCACAAAUUUGGAAGCACAGAAUCAUGUAGAAUGUCAUUGAAUGCUACAGCGUUAAGAUUUCCCUUCACUGGAACUAAGGGGCCUAGCCCAAACCAUGAAAUACAGCCCCAGACCAUUAUUCCUCCUCCACCAAACUUCACAGUUGGCACUAUGCAUUGGGGCAGGUAGCAUUCUCCUGGUGUCCGCCAAACCCAGAUUCGUCCGUCGGACUGCCAGAUGGUGAAGUGUUUCCACUGCUCCAGAGUCCAAUGGCGCAGCGCUUUACACUACUCCAGACGACGCUUGGCGUUGCGCAUGGUGAUCUUAGGCUUGUAUGCGGCUGCUCGGCCAUGGAAACCCAUUUCAUGAAGCUCCCAACGAACAGUUAUUGUGCUUCCAGAGGCAGUUUGGAACUCAGUAGUGAGUUCUGUAACUAAGGACAGACGAUUUUGAGCUUCUCGUUCUUUGAACUUGUGUGGCCUACCACUUUGCGGGUGAGCCGCUGUUGCUCCUAGACGUUUCCACUUCACAAUAACAGCACUUACAGUUGACCAGGGCAGCUCUAGCAGGGCAGAAAUUUGACGAACUGACUUGUUGGAAGUGUGGCAUCCUAUGACUGUGCCGUAUUGAAAGUCACUGAGCUCUUCAGUAAGGCCAUUCUACUGCCAAUGUUUGUCUAUGGAGAUUGCCUGGCUGUGUGCUCUUUUAUACACCUGUCAGUAAUGGGUGUGGCUGAAAUAGCCAAAUCCAUUCAUUUGAAGGGGUGUCCAGAUACUUUUGUAUAUGAAAUUUGUGUACAAUUGUGUGCACAUGUGCAUCCAUAUGUGUGUGUGCGCAACGACAAUGUAGACAGACACUAUAUCUGUAUAGUUGGAGCAAGAUGUAAUUUAAAUAAUGUGUGUGCAUAAGAGAAAAAGAACAUGGGCACUCAUGUCAAUGGAUUUCAUGUAUUGUUUGUAUUAAGUAAAUAGUUAUUCAUUAUUUUAAUAAAUGUCUUUUAAAAGUAA